AAGCGGCCAGAUACCAAACCCCACCCAUUGAGAGAGAAGAUUUGAUUGGUCCAUCUGACUUUCAUUUGAAGGAACUCCCUCUUUAGAUGUAGAGCUAGCCAACCAAUCACAGAGCUGAAAGCAUAACAUCUUCUUCCUAGUAACAGUAGAGGCAGCAAAUGAAACGGAGAGGAAGAGGUGGACCUGGACAUCACAGCUGUCAGCACUGUGGCAAGUCCUUCACAAGAUCUGGAAAUUUAAAGGUUCAUCAGAGACUUCACACUGGAGAGAAACCCUACAACUGUGAACAAUGUGG